UACGUAGGUGGCAAGCGUUGUCCGGAAUUAUUGGGCGUAAAGCGCGCGCAGGCGGUUCUUUAAGUCUGAUGUGAAAGCCCACGGCUCAACCGUGGAGGGUCAUUGGAAACUGGAGAACUUGAGUACAGAAGAGGAAAGCGGAAUUCCACGUGUAGCGGUGAAAUGCGUAGAGAUGUGGAGGAACACCAGUGGCGAAGGCGGCUUUCUGGUCUGUAACUGACGCUGAGGCGCGAAAGCGUGGGGAGCAAACGGG
rnacentral:rRNA from 1 species